rnacentral:rRNA from 1 species
ACGGAGGGUGCAAGCGUUGUCCGGAUUUAUUGGGCGUAAAGCACGUGCAGGCGGUCUGUUAUGUCGAGUGUGAAAUCCCGGGGCUUAACCCCGGAACUGCGCUCGAAACUGGCAGACUUGAGUUCGGAAGGGGGAGAUGGAAUUUCCGGUGUAGGGGUGAAAUCCGUAGAUAUCGGGAAGAAUACCGGUGGCGAAGGCGAUCUCCUGGUCCGAUACUGACGCUCAGACGUGAAAGCGUGGGGAGCAAACAG